AUGAAGCUCCCCCUCCCCUCUGCACGGACGCCCCGCUGCCCAGGCCCGGCCCGAUGUUCCCCACCCCCACAGGACUGGGGGAGUUGGGGGGCCUCCCUCUCCGCCUCGCCAAAGAGGGAAGGAAAGAGGCGGAGGGAAAAAGAGUGCGAGUUAGAAGCGGGCGCCCCGCACGGGCCUCGCGAGGCGGCAGAGCCCCUUCCAGACCGAGUGGGGUGCGGGGCGAUGAGGGGAGAGCCGGGCUGGGGAUCCCGCCGAGGCCCCGCAGCGCUGUCCGCUUACCCUUCGCUGCCGCCGCUUCCCCCUCCUCCUCCUCGGCCGCCGCCGCCGCCUCUCCCACUAGGGCAGCCGUCUCCACCGUCGCCGCCGCCGCCUCCGCCACCGCGGCCACCGCCAGCGCCGCCGCCGCCUCCGGUUCCACCCGGCAGGGGGGACACCUCAGCCCUCCCUCCGUCCCCGCUCAGCCCCCUCCGCUCGCCCGCCGCCGCCAACUCCCUCCGGCCGCUGCCGCCGCCACCACUCGUGGCUGAGGGGGAGGGGAGGGGGUCGGGCUGGGUCGCCCAACCGGCGGCUGCAGCAGAUCAAAAACCAAGGCUGGGCGGCGUCGCCGCUCCCCGAUCCUCGGCUCCGGCUCCCUCGGCGUCCCCACCUCCCUCUGCCCCCACCCCCCUCGCGCUCGCCUGCCCUCCCCCCACCCCCCCAGCUCUCGCUCGCUCUCGCCGCGGCUCCGCCAGCCCAGUCCAAAUCAAAAUACUGUCACACAAUAUGGCGGCGCGGCGGCCGGCAAACACCGCGAGAUCUGCGGCCGCGGCUGAGGCGGCGGCUGUGACUAGGCCUCCCCCGGCAGAGCCGCUGGGGAGCGGCCGGCGGCGGCGGCUGCGGCCGGGGGAUGCUCUUCCUCCGCCCCGCACCCCUCCCCCGACAUUCGCAGUCUCGACGCCCGUCUUACCAGGGCUGGAGGGAGGACGCGGGCCGCCGCCUGGCGGUGCAAGGGGACCGCCGGUGCCGGCAGCCCGGGGAGGGCUGGGACCCCUUUUCUCGACCGGGCCCCCAUCCUUGGGGGUGGGGUGCGGGUCCCACCUCCCGCCACGGGGGCCGCUAGCAGUUUGGGUUGAGGGAAGAAAGGAACUGAACUCGAGUCCCAGUCGCACUUCGCGGAGGGGCUGGCCGGGUCCGGAAGCGGGUGGCGGGACCUGCCGGGCGGCCGGCGGCGCAGCGCUCGUGGGGUCCGGGGACCUGGCGGGACCCCGGGGCGCUGCGGCGGCCGAGGGGAGCAGGUGGGCCCGCGGCGGAGGCAAGCGCCCGGGCGCUGUGGGCCGGGACACACCCCCUUGGAGCCCGAACGCACAGAGGCCGCUAGCUAACGGAGGGACCCGUGCGGGAGACGUCUUGCGAGCCGCACAACUGGCAGCUUGUAGACUCGAAAAAAAGUAUCGGCUUCUGACUUUUCUUGAGCAGUUCGGGGGGGAAAAAGAAAUCUAA
rnacentral:lncRNA from 13 species